UACGAGGGGGGCGAGCGUUGUUCGGAAUUAUUGGGCGUAAAGGGCGCGUAGGCGGUGCGGUAAGUCACCUGUGAAACCUCUGGGCUUAACUCAGAGCCUGCAGGCGAAACUGCAGUGCUUGAGUACUUAAGAGGAUCGCGGAAUUCCCGGUGUAGAGGUGAAAUUCGUAGAUAUCGGGAGGAACACCAGUGGCGAAGGCGGCGAUCUGGGAAGAUACUGACGCUGAGGUGCGAAAGCGUGGGGAGCAAACAGG
rnacentral:rRNA from 1 species